rnacentral:rRNA from 1 species
AUGGGGCGGAUCCGAAACCGACAGAUCGCGUCACAGGGCAGCCAAGCUGAGCAGCCAGUCGCACCACCUCCUUCGGGAUUGCUUGAAAGGCUUGGCGUAAGGGAUGGAACGUCGUUAUGCCUAAUAGCAGCAACAUUCACACUGGCCAGCAGUUUAGUCAAUUUCCAAGUGUCUCUAUUAGGUGAUGAUGGGUUUACCAGCAAGGAGUACUAUAGUGAGUUGGUAACUGGCACAAUGGAGGUAGCUGUUUGCGGCCCCUAUAUAGUUCUGAAAUCGCAGGAGUUCGUGUCCAAUCUGUUGCCGUCGUGGAACACAUGCCGUCCUAACGUGCGGAUUUUCAGAGACACGGUCAUUCUUGUGGUCAUAUCUUAUCUGAUACUACUGGACAUCAACUGGAGCUUCGUCUGGCUCGCCAUCUUUCCCGUCACAGCCAUUGUUUUCAUACGAGCUCUGUACCUCAAGUUCAAUCGUCGUACUGGUGGCAGGAGUGUUCAAGGCACUCCAGGAUCUUCUAAGGUCGUUGAGAAGACCAACAGGAAAGCUAUGGAGUUUGUGAGCAUAGUGAUGAUGACGCUUGGGGCGCUAUUGGUUAUGGACCAGCUACCAGACCAUGCAGCCUACGGUUUCGCCAUCUCCCAGUUCCUUCUGUUCCUAAGCUGCACGGUGGCGGCGCUGACGCGCAUGAUGAUGAAGCUGCCGGCUGGCGCCUCGCCAGGCAUAGCACCGGCAUCGGAGAUGCUCCACAAGACCCUGCUUAUCCUCCUACUGGUGACUGGGCACACGGUAGCUGCAGAGUGGCUGGGCGAGGAAGUCGUUGUGCUCUGCUUGCCGGAGGUCAUCCCUGUGCUUCUUUGGUUCAUUCUUCACAUCGACCGUAAACCAGGCAGCAGCUCCGUCAUGAGCGUCCACAAAAUGAAGGCACACAUAAAUUGGCUUGGCUUGAUCGGUGCCGUGGUGGUUGCUCCUCUUUUCGCGUACCUGUUGUUCACCAUGGAUGAAUCUGGGCUCUCCGGCUGGUGUAUGACAUUCCAGGUGUCAUGUGGCGUCUCAGGGAUCCUGACAUACUACCUUGUGUUCAUGCUAAACCACUGGACGAGGCAACAAGUUGCAGCUGCUGGCAAGGAGGAUGGGGCUUCCGGUAUGCUCAAGUUAUGGGCCUAUGCUUUGCUGAUAGCGUGGGCUGCGUCUCUGCUGCUCAGGUGUCUGGUUUCUCUCCGGCUUGGGCUGCAACUACCACUGCAUGCAACGGCUGUGUAUGCCGGUAAUAUUUCUGGUUUUAGCUACUCAAAUUAA